AUGAAGACCCGUAUGAAUGGCAUAACGAGGGCUUAACUGUCUCCUUUUUCCAGUCAAUGAAAUUGAUCUCCCCGUGCAGAAGCGGGGAUAAACACAUAAGACGAGAAGACCCUGUGGAGCUUUAGACACAAGGCAGACCAUACAGAGCAGCUUAAAACAAAAAGCUAAACCCAUAUGACCCCACUGCCCAGCAUGUC
rnacentral:rRNA from 1 species